UACGGAGGGUGCAAGCGUUGUUCGGAAUUACUAGGCGUAAAGGGCGCGCAGGCUGUAGAUCAAGUCAGCUGUGAAAUGUCUGGGCUUAACCCGGGCAUGCGGUUGAAACUGAUGUACUGGAGUGCUGUAGAGGCAAGUGGAAUUCCCAGUGUAGCGGUGAAAUGCGUAGAUAUUGGGAAGAACACCGGUGGCGAAGGCGACUUGCUGGGCAGCAACUGACGCUGAGGCGCGAAAGCCAGGGGAGCAAACGGGAUUAGA
rnacentral:rRNA from 1 species